rnacentral:rRNA from 1 species
GUGGGGAAUAUUGCACAAUGGGCGAAAGCCUGAUGCAGCAACGCCGCGUGAGGGACGACGGCCUUCGGGUUGUAAACCUCUUUUAGUAGGGAAGAAGCGAAAGUGACGGUACCUGCAGAAAAAGCACCGGCUAACUACGUGCCAGCAGCCGCGGUAAUACGUAGGGUGCAAGCGUUAUCCGGAAUUAUUGGGCGUAAAGAGCUCGUAGGCGGUCUGUCGCGUCUGCUGUGAAAACUGGAGGCUCAACCGCCAGCCUGCAGUGGGUACGGGCAGACUAGAGUGCGGUAGGGGAGAUUGGAAUUCCUGGUGUAGCGGUGGAAUGCGCAGAUAUCAGGAGGAACACCGAUGGCGAAGGCAGAUCUCUGGGCCGUAACUGACGCUGAGGAGCGAAAGCGUGGGGAGCGAACAGGAUUAGAAACCCCAGUAGUCC